UACGUGGGGUGCAAGCGUUAAUCGGAAUUACUGGGCGUAAAGCGUGCGCAGGCGGUCCGCUAAGACAGAUGUGAAAUCCCCGGGCUUAACCUGGGAAUGGCCUAUGUGACUGGCAGGCUAGAGGAUGGCAGAGGGAGGCGGAAUGCCACGUGUAGCAGUGAAAUGCGUAGAGAUGUGGCGGAACACCGAUGGCGAAGGCAGCCUCCUGGGCCAAUCCUGACGCUCAGGCACGAAAGCGUGGGGAGCAAACAGG
rnacentral:rRNA from 1 species